rnacentral:rRNA from 1 species
AAACUUAAAUGAAUUGACGGGGGCCCGCACAAGCAGUGGAGUAUGUGGUUUAAUUCGAAGCAACGCGAAGAACCUUACCAGGUCUUGACAUCCAACUAACGAGGCAGAGAUGCGUCAGGUGCCCUUCGGGGAAAGUUGAGACAGGUGGUGCAUGGUUGUCGUCAGCUCGUGUCGUGAGAUGUUGGGUUAAGUCCCGCAACGAGCGCAACCCUUAUGAUUAGUUGCUACGCAAGAGCACUCUAAUCAGACUGCCGUUGACAAAACGGAGGAAGGUGGGGACGACGUCAAAUCAUCAUGCCCCUUAUGACCUGGGCUACACACGUACUACAAUGGCCAUUAACAGAGGGAAGCAAGACCGCGAGGUGGAGCAAACCCUAAAAAUGGUCUCAGUUCGGAUCGCAGGCUGAAACCCGCCUGCGUGAAGCUGGAAUUGCUAGUAAUCGCGGAUCAUCAUGCCGCGGUGAAUACGUUCCCGGGCCUUGUACACACCGCCCGUCACACCAUGGGAGCCGGUAAUACCCGAAGUCGGUAGUCUAACCGCAAGGAGGACGCCGCCGAAGGUAGGAUUGGCGACUGGGGUGAAGUCGUAACAAGGUAGCCGUAUCGGAAGGUGCGGCUGGAUCACCUCCUUUAUG